AUGUCAUUUGGACUGACUAACGCACCAGCUUAUUUCAUGAACCUGAUGAACAAAGUGUUUAUGGAGUUUUUGGAUAAGUUCGUCGUGGUGUUCAUAGAUGACAUUUUGAUUUUCUCGAAGAAUGAAGAGGAACACAAGGAACAAUUGCGAUUGGUUUUGGAGAAGCUAAGAGAAGAUCAGUUAUACGCCAAGUUCAGCAAAUGUGAGUUUUGGCUAAAGGAAGUUGGAUUUCUCGGACAUGUUAUAUCCGGAGAAGGAAUAGCAGUUGACCCCAAAAAGGUUGAGACCGUAACUAAUUGGGAAGCACCAACGACAGUUGGAGAGAUUCGGAGUUUUCUUGGACUCGCAGGAUACUACCGAAGAUUCAUUGAGAAUUUCUCAAGGAUUGCUAAGCCUAUGACUGAAUUGUUGAAGAAGGAUAACAAAUUCAUAUGGACUGAGGACUGUGAGGCAAGUUUUCAGGAGUUGAAGAAAAGAUUGGUUACCUCACCAGUUUUGAUAUUGCCAGAUCAGACAAAGGAUUAUGAGGUGUAUUGCGACGCUUCACGACGAGGACUUGGAGCAGUGCUUAUGCAGGAAGGAAGAGUUGUUUCGUAUGCUUCACGACAACUU
rnacentral:rRNA from 1 species